rnacentral:rRNA from 1 species
GAUGAACGCUAGCGGCAGGCCUAAUACAUGCAAGACGAACGGUAAGUUGAGUAGCAAUACUUAGCCAAGAGUGUCGUACGGGUGCGUAACACGUAUGCAACCUACCCUAUACAGGAGGAUAGCCUAGGGAAACCUGGAUUAACCCUUCCAUAGUAUUAUUGGAUGGCAUCAUUUGAUAAUUAAAACUGAGGUGGUAUAGGAUGGGCAUGCGUCUGAUUAGUUAGUUGGCGGGGUAAUGGCCCACCAAGACGAUGAUCAGUAGGGGUUCUGAGAGGAAGAUCCCCACACUGGCACUGAGAUACGGGCCGAGACUCCUACGGGAGGCAGC